CCUACGGGUGGCAGCAGUGGGGAAUAUUGCACAAUGGGGGGAACCCUGAUGCAGCGACGCCGCGUGAGUGAAGAAGUAUUUCGGUACGUAAAGCUCUAUCAGCAGGGAAGAAAAUGACGGUACCUGACUAAGAAGCCCCGGCUAACUACGUGCCAGCAGCCGCGGUAAUACGUAGGGGGCAAGCGUUAUCCGGAUUUACUGGGUGUAAAGGGAGCGUAGACGGCGGAACAAGUCAGAAGUGAAAACCCGGGGCUCAACCCUGGGAGUGCUUUUGAAACUGUAGUUCUUGAGUACUGGAGAGGCAGACGGAAUUCCUAGUGUAGCGGUGAAAUGCGUAGAUAUUAGGAGGAACACCAGUGGCGAAGGCGGUCUGCUGGACAGCAACUGACGGUGAGGCGCGAAAGCGUGGGGAGCAAACAGGAUUAGAUACCCCAGUAGUC
rnacentral:rRNA from 1 species